AGAGUUUGAUCAUGGCUCAGGACGAACGCUGGCGGCGUGCCUAACACAUGCAAGUCGAGCGAAGUAGGAUGUGUUCUUCGGAAUGCGUUCUACUCAGCGGCGGACGGGUGAGUAACGCGUGAGGAACCUGCCUCUCACAGAGGGAUAGCCUCGGGAAACUGAGGGUAAUACCUCAUGAGACUUAUGUACCGCAUGGUAUAUAAGUUAAAGCGAUUUAGCGGUGAGAGAUGGCCUCGCGUCCCAUUAGCUAGUUGGUGAGGUAACGGCUCACCAAGGCGACGAUGGGUAGCCGGCCUGAGAGGGUGGACGGCCACACUGGAACUGAGACACGGUCCAGACUCCUACGGGAGGCAGCAGUGGGGGAUAUUGCACAAUGGGGGAAACCCUGAUGCAGCGACGCCGCGUGAGCGAAGAAGGCCUUCGGGUCGUAAAGCUCUGUCCUAAGGGAAGAUAAUGACGGUACCUUAGGAGGAAGCCCCGGCUAACUACGUGCCAGCAGCCGCGGCAAAACGUAGGGGGCGAGCGUUGUCCGGAAUUACUGGGCGUAAAGGGUGCGUAGGCGGCUAUUUAAGUCAGAUGUGAAAGGCUACGGCUCAACCGUAGUGAGCAUUUGAAACUGAAUAGCUUGAGUCAAGGAGAGGGAAGUGGAAUUCCUGGUGUAGCGGUGAAAUGCGUAGAUAUUGGGAAGAACACCAGUGGCGAAGGCGGUUUUCUGGACUGUAACUGACGCUGAGGCACGAAAGCGUGGGGAGCGAACAGGAUUAGAUACCCUGGUAGUCCACGCCGUAAACGAUGAGUGCUAGGUGUCGGGGCCGUGAGUCCCGGUGCUGAAGUCAACGCAUUAAGCACUCCACCUGGGGAGUAUGUUCGCAAGAAUGAAACUCAAAUGAAUUGACGG
rnacentral:rRNA from 1 species